rnacentral:rRNA from 1 species
UAGGGAAUCUUCCGCAAUGGGCGAAAGCCUGCCGGAGCAACGCCGCGUGAGUGAUGAAGGUCUUCGGAUCGUAAAACUCUGUUAUUAGGGAAGAACAAAUGUGUAAGUAACUAUGCACGUCUUGACGGUACCUAAUCAGAAAGCCACGGCUAACUACGUGCCAGCAGCCGCGGUAAUACGUAGGUGGCAAGCGUUAUCCGGAAUUAUUGGGCGUAAAGCGCGCGUAGGCGGUUUUUUAAGUCUGAUGUGAAAGCCCACGGCUCAACCGUGGAGGGUCAUUGGAAACUGGAAAACUUGAGUGCAGAAGAGGAAAGUGGAAUUCCAUGUGUAGCGGUGAAGUGCGCAGAGAUAUGGAGGAACACCAGUGGCGAAGGCGACUUUCUGGUCUGUAACUGACGCUGAUGUGCGAAAGCGUGGGGAUCAAACAGG